GAUGAACGCUGGCGGCGUGCCUAAUACAUGCAAGUCGAGCGAACGGACGAGAAGCUUGCUUCUCUGAUGUUAGCGGCGGACGGGUGAGUAACACGUGGAUAACCUACCUAUAAGACUGGGAUAACUUCGGGAAACCGGAUCUAAUACCGGAUGAUAUUUUGAACCGCAUGGUUCAAAAGUGAAAGACGGUCUUGCUGUCACUUAUAGAUGGAUCCGCGCUGCAUUAGCUAGUUGGUAAGGUAACGGCUUACCAAGGCAACGAUGCAUAGCCGACCUGAGAGGGUGAUCCGCCAGCCUGGAACUGAGACACGGUCCAGACUCCUACGGGAGGCAGCAGUAGGGAAUCCUCCGCAAAGCGCGAAAGCCUGACGGAGCAACGCCGCGUGAGUGAUGAAGGUCUUCGGAUCGUAAAACUCUGUUAUUAGGGAAGAACAUAUGUGUAAGUAACUGUGCACAUCUUGACGGUACCUAAUCAGAAAGCCACGGCUAACUACGUG
rnacentral:rRNA from 1 species